rnacentral:RNase_P_RNA from 1 species
GGAGUUGGUCAGGCAAUCGCUGCGUUAACAUUAAGUUUAACGGGGAGGAAAGUCCGGGCUCCAAAGAGCAGGGUGCCAGGUAACGCCUGGGAGGCGAAAGCCUACGACAAGUGCAGCAGAGAGAAGACCGCCGAUGGCUCCGUAAGGAGAACAGGUAAGGCUGAAAGGGUGCGGUAAGAGCGCACCGGGCGACUGGUAACAGUUCGUUGCAAGGUAAACUCCACCCGGAGCAAGACCAAAUAGGGUUCCACAUGGCGCGGCUCGCGUUGGAACCGGGUAGGUUGCUCGAGCCUGUGAGCGAUCGCAGGCCUAGACGAAUGAUUGUCCACGACAAAACCCGGCUUAUCGACCAGCUCCCACC